UACGUAGGGUGCAAGCGUUAAUCGGAAUUACUGGGCGUAAAGCGUGCGCAGGCGGUUUUUUGAGUCAGAUGUGAAAUGCCCGGGCUUAACCUGGGAACUGCAUUUGUGACUGCAUGGCUAGAGUUUGGCAGAGGGGGGUAGAAUUCCACGUGUAGCAGUGAAAUGCGUAGAUAUGUGGAGGAACACCGAUGGCGAAGGCAGCCCCCUGGGUCAAGACUGACGCUCAUGCACGAAAGCGUGGGGAGCAAACAGG
rnacentral:rRNA from 1 species